GAGGUUUACAAGCUUGUGCAAUCUGUAAAAAAUGGGAAGGGAACACAGAAGAAGUAAAAUUAACAUUACACUUAGAAUUCCUUAGGCAUCACACUUAAGAUUGAAUUGUAUCACUUAAUCCAAGAGCAACAAUUUUAGAAUUUAUUAACACUGGAAACUGUGUAAUACGCAUUAAAAGCAUUGAUAUUUGUGGACUCAAAUUAAUAUAUUAGACAACUAAAAUUACUCCCAAAUAAAACUAAAUGAUUAAUGCCAUGAUGCCAUCCUAAACCAAUAAUGAGUAUAAAAAAAGUUGAUCCUAAAAUUCUUGCCAGCCUAUUUGGCCAAGCAGGAAAU
rnacentral:misc_RNA from 1 species